rnacentral:rRNA from 1 species
GAUGAACGCUGGCGGCGUGCCUAAUACAUGCAAGUCGAGCGAACAGAUAAGGAGCUUGCUCCUUUGACGUUAGCGGCGGACGGGUGAGUAACACGUGGGUAACCUACCUAUAAGACUGGAAUAACUCCGGGAAACCGGGGCUAAUGCCGGAUAACAUUUAGAACCGCAUGGUUCUAAAGUGAAAGAUGGUUUUGCUAUCACUUAUAGAUGGACCCGCGCCGUAUUAGCUAGUUGGUAAGGUAACGGCUUACCAAGGCAACGAUACGUAGCCGACCUGAGAGGGUGAUCGGCCACACUGGAACUGAGACACGGUCCAGACUCCUACGGGAGGCAGCAGUAGGGAAUCUUCCGCAAUGGGCGAAAGCAUGACGGAGCAACGCCGCGUGAGUGAUGAAGGUAUUCGGAUCGUAAAACUCUGUUAUUAGGGAAGAACAAAUGUGUAAGUAACCGUGCACGUCUUGACGGUACCUAAUCAGAAAGCCACGGCUAAAUACGUG